rnacentral:rRNA from 1 species
UGGGGAAUUUUGGACAAUGGGCGAAAGCCUGAUCCAGCCAUGCCGCGUGAGUGAAGAAGGCCUUCGGGUUGUAAAGCUCUUUUAGUCGGAAAGAAAGAGUUGCAAUGAAUAAUUGUGAUUUAUGACGGUACCGACAGAAAAAGCACCGGCUAACUACGUGCCAGCAGCCGCGGUAAUACGUAGGGUGCGAGCGUUAAUCGGAAUUACUGGGCGUAAAGGGUGAGCAGGCGGUCUUGCAAGUCAGAUGUGAAAGCCCCGGGCUUAACCUGGGAACUGCCUUUGUGACUGCAAAGCUGGAGUGCGGCAGAGGGGGAUGGAAUUCCGCGUGUAGCAGUGAAAUGCGUAGAUAUGCGGAGGAACACCGAUGUCGAAGGCAAUCCCCUGGGCCUGCACUGACGCUCAUGCACGAAAGCGUGGGGAGCAAACA